rnacentral:lncRNA from 1 species
AACAAACACCUUCAUCCUUAACCAUUUUAAUAACCAUACAUCAUCAAAUACUUACACAUCACUCAUUAGCAAAAUCAUCAUUACAAACAUACAAAAUAACUAAAUCCCUAUACAUGCCAUAACUCAAACGUGUUUCGAUAUAAAAUACCGAGCAGUUGUAGUUGAUAGUGUGGACGAUCUCCGACUUCUUUAGGAUCCUUGAAGUAGCUUUGCAAUACUAUAAGAGAAAGAGAAUAAAAGAAGUAAGCAUAAAGCUUAGUAAGUUUACUAGCAAAUAAAUAACAAUAUUUAACUUAAAUAAUUAAACUCAAUGUCUAUAUCUCUAGUUUACUCUUUAGUUAAUCUCAUACUAGUUCUCUUACUUGUUUACUUAGAAUACUUGUGUGCAUAACUUACUCAAUCCUUGCUGCAUCGUUGAACAUCAAUUGAUAGUAUAAUAAGUUCUUAAGUCUUACAACUUACCUGAGCUUGCCAUUUAUGCUUUAAACUGAACUUUCAUGAACAUGAUUCGUUUACAAGCCCGUUGAGCUACAUUGGAAUAAUAAGGAUACUCGGGUCUCUUCUGAUAAUAACAUGCCAAAGCCAUGUCCCAGACAUGGUCUUACAUGGGAUGUUCUCGUGAUGGUGCCCAUGCCAUGUCCCAGACAUGGUCUUAUAGGGGACCUCUCAUCUCGGUGCCAACGCCAUGUCCCAGACAUGGUCUUACAUGGGACCUCUCGUCUCGGUGCCCAUGCCAUGUCCCAGACAUGGUCUUACAGGGGACCUCUCAUGAUCUUAAGGAUGCCAAUGCCAUGUCCCAGACAUGGUCUUACAUGGGAUCUCUUUACCCAAAUGUCAUGACAUUCGUAUCCAGUACCAUCCUUAUGUAUCAACGGGACUUUUAAAUUUUAAUUCUCUAUCAUUUCAUGCUUGGAUCAUCAUCAAAUAAAUUCAUAAAAUAAAUUCAUAAUUUCUGGAAAUUAACAGCAUUAAUAAUAAAUAUUGAAAUAUUGCAUUUAUUUACCGUAAACUUACCUUGGUACCAAUUAUAGCCAAAUUUACCAACUUAGUCUUCAACUUUAUUCUUCCCUUUGUCUAACCUCGAGUUUCGUACUUCUUGAUCUAAAAUAGUAAAUUUAACUUAUUUAAUAAUCACAUUCAUCAAAACAGCCCUCGACUCUAACUUUUUCAAAAUUACAAUUUUGCCCCUAAACUUUUACAUAAUUACAUUUUUGCCCCAAGGCUCGGAAAUUAAAC